GUGCUUGCUUCGGCAGCACACAUACCAAAAUGAGAACGAUGCAGAGAAGAUUAGCACGGCCCCUGCACAAGGGUGACACACAAAUUCUUGAAGUGUUCCAUAUUAAA
ensembl:snRNA U6 U6 spliceosomal RNA